ACCUUAGAGACCAACUAAGUUUGUUCUAGGUAUAAGCUUUCGUGGUAUGUGAAGAAGUGUGCAUGCACACAAAAGCUUAUACCCAGAACAAACUUAGUUGGACUCUAAGGU
rnacentral:miRNA from 1 species